CCACUUCCUGUCCCAGAGUCUCUCUUGUUAGGCAUGAUUGAGUCUCAUUCUUCCUGUUGACUUCUGUUUUGUUCCAGCUGGUCCCCGGGUGGCCCCCACGUGCUGCUGUGAACCAGAUCAGCUGAGGACCUGCGACCAGGUUGCUCAAUGUCAGUGAUGUCACUUGUCCUCUUGGAUUUCUGAAGUUCUCUGAAAAUCAGCUUUGUCACAGUAACUGUAAUCCUGGAGAAGUUGCCUUAACCUCCCUGGCACCAGGUCUUCUCAUCUGUAACAGUGGGAACACUCAUCCGCACUUCACAGGGUUGGUGCUAACGGAUGUUCCUGACAGGGUCUGACCCAUAGUAAGUAUCUAAUAUUCCAUAGUUAUUUUUAUUAUAUGCUGAGUGUUAUGUAAGAUGAGGAUAAUUAUGUCAUCCCAUAUUGUUUAUAGAAAGAACUCUGUCUUCUCAAAAGUAGUUUCAGAGUUCAAUCUGUAGCUGGGAAAGAUGCCAAGGGGCACAGUACAAAGUCACCGCUGGCCACUGACCCCCCUUUUGGCUUAGUCUUCCCUUGGAGCUGGCUGCUGUCCAGAUGUGGGUCAAGUAAACAGGCUACUGUUGAACACAGAUAAGUCAGAUCCCCAGAUACAGGUUGUCAGGGGAGACAAUAGGAAACCCCAUUCUUGGAAGAGAAUAAAAGGUCUGAGUACCUCUGAGCUAACAAAAGGAAAGAAAGCCAGGGCUUAUCGGAAUGACUGGGAUGCUCAUCAGAAAAGCUGAUGUUCCUUCAAAUUGUGAUUGCUAAGAUCAGAGACAGGAGGGAAAAGCUGUGGGAAUGCCUGAGGUUUUGCUGGUGUGUGUUCUCAGACAUGCUAACUUUUUCUGUAAAACCAGGAAGCCGGAUCUUAUUUAUAUCCCCUCAAGGGUGGCCUCUGUGCUACUGGUGGCAUGUGAAGUGAUUUAUUUGGUACAGAGGUGAACAUUUGCAAUCUUGACAGUUAUGUAUUUCUUUUCUCAAAUCAAGGGGAUAUGAUUGUUGCCAGUUCCUUGGUUUCAUUGAUGUGACAGUUUAGGAUGAGGCAAAGGUAGGUUUAAGUUCAUUUUUUAGACAGGUGAGUCAAUUUAAAGAUGAUAUGUAGAAAUGGCAAAGACUGUACAUGGGAAUGUCAGAUGUGGGAGGCAGAAUAACUCCUUAAAGAUGCCAACACCCUAGUCCCCAGACCUGUAUGUUAUUGUGUACAUCAAAAGACACUUAGCAUAUAUGAUUAAGGUUUUUGAGAAGGGAAGAUUAUAUUAGAUUAGAUGUGUGGACCCAGUAUUGUCCAAAGGCCCUUAGAGGAGGGAUGUAGGGGUCCAUAUGGACAAUGAUGGACACAGCAUAUGGGGUGAUGUGCCCUAAGCCUAUCCUGUGACCUCUAGAAACCAGGAGAGCCAAGGAACUGAUUGUCCUCCCCAGAACCUCAGAAGGAGCCAAUACCUUGAUUUUAUAGCUCUGUGCGCCUCAUCUGAAAUCUCUGACUUUCAGAAGUACAAUAGAAUAAGUAUGCGUUGUUUGAAGCCAUCCAGUUUGAGGUCAUCUGUUACCGUAGUCACAGGAAAUGAAUACACUGGGUAUUAGAGGAACUUAAAGUGAUACAUUCUGCAAGUGCAGCAUUUCCCUAGGGCAGAGGAAGGGACAUUGGCCACCUAAUCUAUCUAGGAGGAGAUUGGUCCAGUCAUCAUGUCUGGCAGUCUGGACAAAUGUAGGGAGAGCCCUCAUCCCUACAAGGAGAAUGCUUGGAUAGGUGACAUAAUGGGUCCUGACUCAUGGACACUGUCAACAACUGCCAUUUAGUUCAACCUGCUCAAUUUGUGGAUGGAGAAACUAAGGCCCAGAAAAUAGGAAGUAACCCUAGCAAAGUCACUAGCAAGGCAGCUGGUUAGGUCUGGAUGGAAAAAAAAAAUGGCUCAGUUUCUAAGGCAGAGGUAGAGGAGUGGCACCCUGUAGAGACAUGCCUGGAUUCCCAAACUAGGGUGCGGAGCCCUGGGGAGGGGUGGGGCCUACACCUUUGGCUGGGGGUGGAUCUUGCCAGUCUUUGGUCACCUCUGUGUGUGGGCCUCUGGUUCUCAUGUCCCUCCCUUUUCUAUCUUUUAAUCGGGGUUUUAAUAGCCAUUCUGCUAACACGUGAUCUUUAGAAGAUUGUUGAAACAGUGACAUUCUGGGGACAAGGGCUCCUCCACUCUCUCCUCAUCCCACCCCAAGUUUGAAGUGCUGCAGUGAAUUUCCCCUCCACUUGGCCUGUCCCCUCUGCGGGAACAUUUACUUUCUUUUUAUAGAAGGGACAUUCUUCUGUGGUGAACAUGAAACCUGGGAUGUUUCAUUUCUGCAGCUCAGCAUGGGGAAUCAAAAUUGGCUUCUGUGGUAUGAGCAUUCCUGAAUAAGCCAGAUUCCUAGUUCUGAGCAGAAAAGGUUCUCCAGAGAAUGCUUUUAACCCCAGUACUUAGGAAGGAAGUAGGGAGGAAAUUUUACAUCUUUAGACUGAGCAUAUGUCAUACAUAUAAGGUAAUGAGCUGAACAUAUACCAGGUUGGACUAAAUUAGGGAGCCAGGGCAGAAGGGGGUAAAUUCUACCAGUCAACAGAAAUGGGAAACUUUUCAGUGAAACCUCAGGAACAUGAAGGCCCAGGCCACUCUUAUACCUCCUACAGUCACCAGCUCAAAGGCUGCGGUUUGGUUUGUUUUAUUUUUGAGACGGGGACUUGUCUUGCAGCCUAGGCUGGCCUCAGGCUUAUAGUCUUCAUGCCUUAGCCCACUGACUGCUUCAAUUAAUUGUGUGUGCCAGCACACCUGCCUCACAGGCUGCCUUAAAACAAAGUCCUAAACCAUCAGUUUAAGACACUGAAAAGGGUGUGGAGGAAAUGAACAUACUUUAAGUUUAGAUGUGGUAUUGUUGUAGGAGAAUGAAAAACUACCCACUUAAUAUGUUUUUGAUCAAAAUGCAGAAAGGAAGGAGAGAGAGACAGAGAGAGCAAAAAGGAGUGAGGAAGCGAGCUGUGCUCAUGCUCAGAAAACGAGCACUGUUGAUGUUUGAUUGACAUCAUUUGAUGUCUCUAUAUUUAGACCUUUUUUCUAAUGUACAAUGUUUUUCUAUGUUAAAUGGAACCCGAUACAUAUUAUUAACUACUUUAUUCAUUUAGCCGAACACGGGGGACAUUUUCACUAUUAAUAUUCUUCUGUAACAUUAUUGAGUUAUGGCUAUCACAUGAUUCUACUUCAUCAAUCCUGCAGUCUGGCUUCUAUCUUUCCUUUCACUAAGUAUUUUAUGUGCAUGAAGUGUUUUGGCUGCACGUAUGUCUGUACACCAUGUGAAUGCAGUACUCUAGGAGGUCAGGAGGGAGUGUUGGGUCCCCUGGAACCGUAGUUACAGAUGCUUGUGAGCCAGCAGCAUGUGGUUGAUAGGGAACUAAACCUAGUUCCUCUUAUGAGAGGCUCAACUGCUGAGCCAUUUCUUCACCCUGUUAACUGUGUCUUGUUGCUCACUUUUUAUUGUUUUAUUAGAGUUCUAAAUUAUAAGAAUAGUUUUUUUUUUUUUUUUUCCGAGACAGGGUUUCUCUGUGUAGCUUUGGAGCCUAUCCUGGCACUCUGGAGACCAGGCUGGCCUCGAACUCACAGAGAUCUGCCUGCCUCUGCCUCCUGAGUGCUGGUAUUAAAGACGUGUGCCACCAACGCCUACGAAUAGGUUUUUUUUUUUUAAUUUUUGUUGUUGUUGUCUCC
ensembl:lncRNA